rnacentral:rRNA from 1 species
GACAUGCAGAGAACUUUCCAGAGAUGGAUUGGUGCCUUCGGGAACUCUGACACAGGUGCUGCAUGGCUGUCGUCAGCUCGUGUCGUGAGGUGUUGGGUUAAGUCCCGUAACGAGCGCAACCCUUGUCCUUAGUUACCAGCACGUUAUGGUGGGCACUCUAAGGAGACUGCCGGUGACAAACCGGAGGAAGGUGGGGAUGACGUCAAGUCAUCAUGGCCCUUACGGCCUGGGCUACACACGUGCUACAAUGGUCGGUACAAAGGGUUGCCAAGCCGCGAGGUGGAGCUAAUCCCAUAAAACCGAUCGUAGUCCGGAUCGCAGUCUGCAACUCGACUGCGUGACGUCGGAAUCGCUAGUAAUCGUGAAUCAGAAUGUCACGGUGAAUACGUUCCCGGGCCUU